GAACGCGAAGAACCUUACCUGGGCUUGACAUACACCAGAUCGCUGCAGAGAUGUAGUUUCCCUUGUGGUUGGUGUACAGGUGGUGCAUGGUUGUCGUCAGCUCGUGUCGUGAGAUGUUGGGUUAAGUCCCGCAACGAGCGCAACCCUUGUCUUAUGUUGCCAGCAUUUGGUUGGGGACUCAUGAGAGACUGCCGGGGUUAACUCGGAGGAAGGUGGGGAUGACGUCAAAUCAUCAUGCCCCUUAUGUCCAGGGCUUCACACAUGCUACAAUGGUCGGUACAACGCGCAGCGACACUGUGAGGUGGAGCGAAUCGCUGAAAGCCGGUCUUAGUUCGGAUUGGGGUCUGCAACUCGACCCCAUGAAGUCGGAGUCGCUAGUAAUCGUAGAUCAGCAAUGCUGCGGCGAAUACGUUCCCGGGUCUUGUACACACC
rnacentral:rRNA from 1 species